rnacentral:rRNA from 1 species
CCUACGGGUGGCAGCAGUAGGGAAUUUUGCUCAAUGGGCGAAACCCUGAAGCAGCAACGCCGCGUGGGUGAUGAAGGUUUUCGGAUUGUAAACUCCUGUUGUUAGAGAAGAAAAUGACUGUAACUAACGAAUAAGCACCGGCUAACUCCGUGCCAGCAGCCGCGGUAAUACGACGGGUGCAAGCGUUACUCGGAAUGACUGGGCGUAAGGGGCGCGUAGGCGGGCUAGCAAGUCAGAUGUGAAAUCCUAUGGCUUAACCGUAGAACUGCAUUUGAAACUGUUAUUCUAGAGUAUGGGAGAGGUAGGUGGAAUUCUUGGUGUAGGGGUAAAAUCCGUAGAGAUCAAGAGGAAUACUCAUUGCGAAGGCGACCUGCUAGAACAUAACUGACGCUGAUGCGCGAAAGCGUGGGUAGCAAACAGGAUUAGAUACCCUUGUAGUC